rnacentral:rRNA from 1 species
GACGAACGCUGGCGGCGUGCUUAACACAUGCAAGUCGAACGGAAAGGCCCUGCUUUUGUGGGGUGCUCGAGUGGCGAACGGGUGAGUAACACGUGAGUAACCUGCCCUUGACUUUGGGAUAACUUCAGGAAACUGGGGCUAAUACCGGAUAGGAGCUCCUGCUGCAUGGUGGGGGUUGGAAAGUUUCGGCGGUUGGGGAUGGACUCUCGGCUUAUCAGCUUGUUGGUGGGGUAGCGGCUUACCAAGGCUUUGACGGGUAGCCGGCCUGAGAGGGUGACCGGCCACAUUGGGACUGAGAUACGGCCCAGACUCCUACGGGAGGCAGCAGUGGGGAAUAUUGCACAAUGGGCGGAAGCCUGAUGCAGCAACGCCGCGUGCGGGAUGACGGCCUUCGGGUUGUAAACCGCUUUCGCCUGUGACGAAGCGUGAGUGACGGUAAUGGGUAAAGAAGCACCGGCUAACUACGUG